AUUGAACGCUGGCGGCAGGCCUAACACAUGCAAGUCGAACGAGUGGCGGACGGGUGAGUAAUGUCUGGGAAACUGCCUGAUGGAGGGGGAUAACUACUGGAAACGGUAGCUAAUACCGCAUACACUCGUCUGUGCCCAGAGGUGAUUAGCUAGUAGGUGGGGUCAAGGCUCACCUAGGCGACGAUCCCUAGCUGGUCUGAGAGGAUGACCACCCACACUGGAACUCAGAAACGGUCCAGACUCCUACGGGAGGCAGCAGUGGGGAAUAUUGCACAAUGGGCGCAAGCCUGAUGCAGCCAUGCCGGGUGUAUGAAGAAGGCCUUCGGGUUUUAAAGUACUUUCAGCGGGGAGGCGUUACCCGCAGAAGAAGCACCGGCUAACUCCGUGCCAGCAGCCGCGGUAAUUC
rnacentral:rRNA from 1 species